rfam:Gongylonema pulchrum genome assembly, scaffold: GPTH_scaffold0001596
UGGCAAUGACGAGACCAAUUUGGUCCGUGUUUCUGACGGAAUGAAUGACGUUAAACCGCAUGUUCUGAGCCA